AUUGAACGCUGGCGGCAGGCCUAACACAUGCAAGUCGAGCGAGCGGCGGACGGGUGAGUAAUGUCUGGGAACCUGCCUGAUGGAGGGGGCUAACUACGGGAAACGGUAGCUAAUACCGCUUACUAUCAGAUGUGCCCAUAUGGGAUUAGCUAGUAGGUGGGGUAUGGGCUCACCUAGGCGACGAUCCCUAGAUGGUCUGAGAGGAUGACCAGCAACACUGGAACGGAGACACGGUCCAGACUCCUAAGGGAGGCAGCAGGGGGGACAAUUGCACAAUGGGCGCAAGCCUAAUGCAGCCAUGCCGCGUGUGUGAAGAAGGCCUUCGGGUUGUAGAGCACUUUCAGCGGGGGGGCGUUACCCGCAGAAGAAGCACCGGCUAACUCCGUGCCAGCCGCCGCGGUAAUUC
rnacentral:rRNA from 1 species